rnacentral:lncRNA from 1 species
AGAUCAGUGUUCUCAACCUUAGUGAUGUUGCUGUCCUCUCAUGCAGUUCUUCAUGUUGUGGUGACCCCCAACCAUAACAUGAUUUUCAUUCCUACUUCAUAGCUGCAACUUUACUACUGUUAUUCAUGAUCAUAUCACUUGCUGCGAGGUUCCUGCCUGAUGCUCCAGGAGUUCUGAUAUUACAGCCGGUGUAGACCAUUUUUCAAUCAGGAGAUGUUGUGAAAACCUACAAUGAGAAAGACUUCUGAGGUGCCCAAUCUACUUCAGAAAGGCACAGGUUGGUCUUGAGGUUUCUGCAGAGCUGAAGAUGACUUUGAACUCCUGAUUCCCCUUCCUCUCAUUGAGGGCUGGGCUUGCAGGUGUACAGCACCAUCCCUGGGAUUGCAGAGGAUGUACACCACUGUUCCUGGUUUACGCAACACUUGGAACUUGAACUCAGGACCUCUUGCAUAGUGGGCAAGCACCAUAUCUAGCUGGACCCCAAUUCCUCAGUUUUUAUUUUACUUACUCACUAUUAAUAUUUCUAUUUGUUUAUUGCUCACUUAUAUUCUUUGAUUAUUAAAAUAAUUUUCAUUGUGUACA